AUUGAACGCUGGCGGCAUGCCUUACACAUGCAAGUCGAACGGUAACAGGUCUCCGGAUGCUGACGAGUGGCGAACGGGUGAGUAAUACAUCGGAACGUGCCCGAGAGUGGGGGAUAACGAGGCGAAAGCUUUGCUAAUACCGCAUACGAUCUCAGGAUGAAAGCAGGGGACCGCAAGGCCUUGCGACCACGGAGCUGCCGAUGGCAGAUUAGGUAGUUGGUGGGAUAAAAGCGUACCAAGCCGACGAUCUGUAGCUGGUCUGAGAGGACGACCAGCCACACUGGGACUGAGACACGGCCCAGACUCCUACGGGAGGCAGCAGUGGGGAAUUUUGGACAAUGGGCGCAAGCCUGAUCCAGCCAUGCCGCGUGCAGGAUGAAGGCCUUCGGGUUGUAAACUGCUUUUGUACGGAACGAAAAGACUCUGGUUAAUACCUGGGGUCCAUGACGGUACCGUAAGAAUAAGCACCGGCUAACUACGUGCCAGCCGCCGCCGUAAUAC
rnacentral:rRNA from 1 species